UCAGACGAUGCGUCAUGCAUAUCAAUAAGCGGAGGAAAAGAAACUAACAAGGAUUCCCCUAGUAACGGCGAGUGAAGCGGGAAGAGCUCAAAUUUGAAAUCUUAAAGGGUUUCCCUUUACGAAUUGUAGUUUAAAGAAGUGUUUUCUGUUGAGGUUUUGGUAAAAGUUCUUUGGAAUAGGACAUCAUAGAGGGUGAGAAUCCCGUAUUUGACCUUUACUUUCAACUUUGUGAUACACUUUCAAAGAGUCGGAUUGUUUGGGAAUGCAGUCCAAAAUGGGUGGUAAAUUUCAUCUAAAGCUAAAUAUUGGCGAGAGACCGAUAGCGAACAAGUACCGUGAGGGAAAGAUGAAAAGAACUUUGAAAAGAGAGUUAAACAGUACGUGAAAUUGUCAAAAGGGAAGCGUUUGACACCAGUGUUGUUUUUCUGAAAAUCAAUUAAAGAACUGUUUAUGCUAAGCUGUUUAGACUUUAUCAGCUAUACUGUUUAGUUUUGAGCUUUUCUUUAAUGCACUUUUCAGUUAACAAGUCAACAUCAAUUUCUUUUGCUGUAAAAAAGCUUGAGGAAGGUGGCUUGAGAUUCGUCUUAAGUGUUUAUAGCCUCUUGCCUAUGCAGUCGGAGAGAUUGAGGUCUGCAGCGUAGAUCCUUCGGGGCUAAAUGCAUUUGUGCUAAGUUAUAGCAUUUUAUAGACAACUUGUUGACUAUGAUUUGUCUUGUAGCUUACUCGCUUAUGUUAUUUUACCUACGCUUAGGAUGUUGAGCGCAUGUCUCUCUCU
rnacentral:rRNA from 1 species